AACGAACGCUGGCGGCAGGCUUAACACAUGCAAGUCGAGCGCCCCGCAAGGGGAGCGGCAGACGGGUGAGUAACGCGUGGGAAUCUACCCAUCUCUACGGAAUAACGCAUGGAAACGUGUGCUAAUACCGUAUACGUCCUUCGGGAGAAAGAUUUAUCGGAGACUGGAUGAGCCCGCGUUGGAUUAGCUAGUUGGUGGGGUAAAGGCCUACCAAGGCGACGAUCCAUAGCUGGUCUGAGAGGAUGAUCAGCCACACUGGGACUGAGACACGGCCCAUGCUCCUACGGGCGGCAGCAGUGGGGAAUAUUGGACGAUGGGCGCAAGCCUGAUCCAGUCAUGUCGCGUGAGUGAUGAAGGCCCUAGGGUUGUAAAGCUCUUUCACCGGUGAAGAUAAUGACGGUAACCGGAGAAGAAGCCCCGGCUAACUUCGUGCCAGCCGCCGCCGUAAGAC
rnacentral:rRNA from 1 species